CAGAGAACUGUCACCAUCCGCUUAAAACUCAAAGGACUUGGCGGUGCUUUAAACCCCCUAGAGGAGCCUGUUCUAUAACCGAUAAACCCCGAUAAACCUCACCACCCCUUGUUAAUCCAGUCUAUAUACCGCCAUCUUCAGCGAACCCUUAAAAGGAAAAAAAGUAAGCAUAAUUAUCUCACAUAAAAAAGUUAGGUCAAGGUGUAACCUAUGGGAUGGGAAGAAAUGGGCUACAUUUUCUACUCCAGAAUAGUCUACGAAAAUUUUUAUGAAACUAAAAACUAAAGGCGGAUUUAGUAGUAAACUAAGAAUAGAGAGCUUAGUUGAAUAGGGCAAUGAAGCACGCACACACCGCCCGUCACCCCUCUGCAGUCAA
rnacentral:rRNA from 1 species